GAUUUCCUGGGGUGUUCGUGAAAGGGUUAUGUCCCUGAGCCGAUACUUAAAAUCUUAUAAAUCGGUUUCCUGUCAUUGGUGUGUAGGCUUUACCUCUGUUUACAGGGGCUUAAAGAAACCUAAAAAUGACCUUAUCGAUUUCCUUGAACCGUCGGGUUCAAGGACUACCACCCAUAGCGGCACUCCGGGACCCUU
rfam:Haemophilus pittmaniae HK 85 ctg1129913985447, whole genome shotgun sequence.